rnacentral:rRNA from 1 species
AAAAGCAACUAACAAGGAUUCCCUUAGUAACGGCGAGUGAACAGGGACUAGCCCAGCACCGAAGCUUGUGGUCACUUGAUCAUUAAGCAAUGUGGUGUUUAGGUUGUUUCGCGAAAGCACUGCUCUACCCUAAGUCCGGCAAUGAACACGGUAGUACGGACAUGGCCCACAGAGGGUGAAAGGCCCGUGUGGGUAGAGAUUCUGCAGUCCAGUGCCUUCCUGGAAUUACCUUGGAGUCGGGUUGUUUGUGAUUGCAGCCCAAAGUGGGUGGUAAACUCCAUCCAAGGCUAAAUACAUACACGAGUCCGAUAGCAAACAAGUACCGUGAGGGAAAGUUGAAAAGUACUUUGAAGAGAGAGUAAACAGUGCGUGAAGCCGCUCAGAGUCUAAACGAAUGGAGUUGAACUGCGACUAUUGAGAAUUCAGCUGGCGAGGAUGGUUUGUGCUUGGGCAAAUCCGUUAAACCUCAGAGUCUGCUGGAAUGGGGCUUUCGUCAUUUGACGGGAGUGUGUGAUAUGCAUAUUAUGUGUUACACGCUUUGGGGUUUAUUGAACUGCCUUGUCAGUGCACUUUCUCUUUGUGUUCACCAGGACCGGCAUUGCUGUCGUUACAAUUCGGUUAAACCGUUCGCUUUUUGUCCUUGAGGCAUUGAGUGUUCGGGAUGGCAGGUAGCUUGUUGGUUUGUUCGCGGUUUUCCGUGAGUUUGAUCGACGAGUGUUAUCAGCUGACUGUGUUGUUUUGUGCGGUGUGUCGGAGACGGCGGCUAGUGAUGUAUGUGGGUGCUUUUUGCUGACGAAUUUGAGUUUGAUUAUCAUGUUGCUUGUUCCAGCAAGCCUGGUAGUGGCUCGGGUUUGGUUAGUAAGGAGUUGCUUAUGUAUUAUCAUUCCAAGGGCCUAAAGUCUCUGGUGUGGUGGUAGACUUUCCAUUCGACCCGUCUUGAAACACGGACCAAGGAGAUUUACAUGUGCGCGAGUUAUUGGGCGUUACGAAACCCAUAGACGUAGUGAAAGUAAAAAUGCGGCUUGUCCGUAUUGUGGUGAGAUCCUGCUCUACCUAACACGCGGUACUACCAAGUAUGGGUGAGUGGGCGCAUCACCGGCCCGUCCCAUGAUAAUUGCCAAUGGUUUUUUACUGUCGGGGCGGAGCAUGAGCGUACAUGUUGAGACCCGAAAGAUGGUGAACUAUGCUUGCGCAGGUUGAAGCCAGAGGAAACUCUGGUGGAGGACCGCAGCGUUUCUGACGUGCAAAUCGAUCGCCGNACGUGAGUAUAGGGGCGAAAGACUA